rnacentral:lncRNA from 1 species
UUUACAUGCCUGUCUCUCCCACUAGAUGGUGCAACCACACAGAGACGUCAUCUGAUUUACCUAGCGUGGUGCUUGGCACAUAGUAGGUGCUCAAAAAAUUACUUGAAUGAAUGAAUGAAUAAAUGUGCUUCAUCUUAGUUGACAAAGCAACGGGAGAGGCUGGAGAUGGACUUGGGCCACUUAGACUUCCUUCAUCCCCAGAAUCAAAGGGACCAGAAACUUAGAAGAUGUCACAAUUUUAUCUGCUACUGACCCUGCAGGCAGGGCUGCCUGGUGGUGAAACAAUAUGGUAUGUAACAGAGUCGAGACAGGUUUGUGUAGGAUGGAUGCAGGCUCCAACCCUGUGCUGCACUGCCUGGCUGCCCGAUCUCCCUCAACGAGCCUCAGUUUUUCACCUGUAAAGUGGGGAUAAUGCGUCCACAUCUCAGGAUCAUUGUGAAGAGUGAGGACAUCACAUAUAAAAAAACUGGCCCACAGAAAGCAUGGAGUAAAUGCCAGCUGUUACAGCAGCUUCUGUAGGAAGGCAGAGCCUGCCUUGCAGCCACUCCACUGGCAAACGUGUCAAUAGGAAGAGUGAGAAGUGAGCAGUGCCUCCUGAGCUGAUGCCUACAGAGGAGCUGUGACAAUCUGCCUCUAGAACAACCUCAGCAAGCUGCCUGGCCCAGGGGAAAUCCAACCGUGGUGACUUUGCCCAGAUUCUGCAAGAUGCUUUCUAAUUGUUGGUGUUCACGAGGGACAAGCAACAGCUGAGCUCAUUCCCUUCCUAUCAAUUUGCAACAUCUGCCCCAGCCCUUACUGACAGUAGAGAAAAAUAAGGACUUUCCGAUCACACCUUUAGGCCACCAAUCUUCAAUGAGUUACUGGGCCCUUCCAGAAAUCAGAUUUUCUAACUGGUCCCUGCAUUGGCUCCAGCAGCUUUGGAGUGGAAAUCCAAAAGCAUGGGAAGACCCUGGGCCGAGGGAGCAGAGGCUGAAACUCUGGGAAAAGCUGUGAGGACCACAAAAGUGGUUGGGCCCCUAAUGGCCUCAAGACCCGGGGUACAACAAACCCCACAGGAGGCCCAAUGACACCCCCUGUCCUAACUCAGCUCAGGAAGAGGCAGCUGCCAUGGUUUAAAGAAUGUGGGUUUUUAGGGUAGAUAGACCCCACAUCUGCUCCAUA